UGCUGACCCGUCGGUGUCAUCUAGACGAAUUCCCUUCCCCAUAAUGACAACAGGUGCCAAAAUUUCAUCCAAGUCGUCCUUCUCUAGUGUUCGGUUGGUUCGUUGUAGGGUUUGGCUGGGACUAAAGGUAUUUCUACCUUGUUGCCUAAUUGUCAAAGUAACCAUUAAAGUAUAGAGUGCGUGUUUUAGGUUGUGGUCUUAUCCUUUUUUUUUUCAGUGCAAAAGUGAUUUGUAACUUAUUUUUUUAGAUGUGUGAUGUUUUCUAAGUGUCUUUUUAUCUUCUUUUUAAUAUAACGAUACUUAGCUUUCCCUUCCAAAAAGGCCAUCCUACAGUGCGGUAGUUGUUAUCACUUAUGAGUGCUGUCUUUCGACCAGGCAGGAUGCCCGAAAUAGAGUUUAGCUGUGUUUUGGCUUCUAUGUCCUUACUUUGUAGGACUUCAACUUUAUUUAACACGUUCAAACGCACGGUUCAUGAAAGACCCAAUAUUCCUGAUGUAUCUAAUAUAUAAUCAACGAGCUUGCAUUCUCAUUCUUUAAUGGAUCAUAGUUUGAGGCCGAAACUACAUUAGAGCGUAUCCAAUAGUUUUUCUUAAACUCAUUCUCUAAAUUAUCAUUUGGAAACCUUAUAUCUUUUGACCCUCCAUCAUCUCCAUUUCUUUAGAUCUUGUGCGCACUUUAGAGAGUCAUCUCCGUUUUUCCUUUUUGGUUUGCAAGAAAUUUGGAACAGAGAAUAUAUAUAUUUAGAGAUUUAAUUAGAGAAGCAGUUGAAGGAUAUUUGUUCACUAAAAUAUCUGUUUCUAUCAAUUAUGAGGGAUAUAACGAGCCUCUUGCUCUGAUAAAGUUUUUUUUCCAUGUAUAGCAUCAACCAUAAACAGGAUAUAUGAUAGAACUGUAUUGCAAAGAUAUGUUCUUUUCCCUAGAAAUAAAUGUUGAUGAAGCACAUUUACCGAGUAAAGGGUGCGUCGUUUCCACCUUUUUUUAUUUCUCUUUUGACAAGUAGAAGUAGGGACCAUUUGAUUAUUCUAGAUCAUGAAAAGAGGUUCCAAUCUUGCUCUGAAAGAACACCUGGUAGAUCCCAGGUUUAUUAUAGUGUCUCCUCAAACGUAAAAUAUGUGGUUCAAGAAUGAAAUCAAUUACUCUGCUGAGAAUGCAUGACAGUAACUUCAGAUUCCUUUUUACUGACAUAGAUAACUUAAUUGGCUUCAGAUGCAUCUUUGACCAAAAGACCCAACAUGCCCUCCACCAGUUAGUAUAUCCAUCCAUGAGAAACUAGACAUGGCUAACAUUGUUUUAGAUAAAGUAGUCAGAUUAUAGUACACACAAAAUAAAACUAAAUCGACAAUAUAUUGAGUAUUAUAAGAGAAUUUUAAAUCAUUUUUAUAACAGGAAUGUUGUCAGUGUUACACUAUUAGAGGCCUUAUCGACACUAUCUAUCUAAGUUCUCUGUUUUUUGAAGAAAUCUCUGAGUUGUCUGUUAUGCAUAUUAUUUUUUAGGAAGGUGAGAUCAAGGAUGCGGGAGUGUUUUUCAAAAUGUUCGAUUAAUCACAAUUAAUCGUCUUAAUCAGGUUUAGGGGGUCCUAUUAGGGCCUUCAACCCGAUCAGUGCGACCAAGUUUCUGGUCAGAUGACUAAUCAUUAAUUAAUCAUGAUUAAUUAUUCGAUUAGGAGCCUCAACGACCAAGUUAGGAGAUCAACAAUUGGACUUGUUAGAGAGGUAAUUUGUUGGGCUGGAAACUUGGCUUUUAGGUUCAAUAGGAUUAGGCCAAAAUAAAGAGAGAGUCAGGAGCGGCGCCAGCCUCCGGUCAAAAUAGAGGGCGCCAGCCACCAAUCAAAAUAGGGGACACCACCAUUUUUGCCUCCCGCACACGAGAAGAAAGAGGCACCACCGACUCCUUUCUGUCCGCCAAUCCGCUGACCUCCUAGCCUUCUACCUCCUCCUUCCUUUUGUCCCUCCUUUCCCUUCUAUCGAGCCUCCUCUGGUUUGCCUCCGGCUCUUCAAUCCGCCCCUCCUCUAGUUCGGUAGUUGCUCCAAGCCUCCAAUUUGUGGGCCUCUUGAAGAUGAGUUCCUCCUCCUCUGGUGAUGAAUUUUGUUGCUCCCCCGCUUCCCUCACUAAACUCACAAUUGUUGGCUUGUUGCUACUCUUUGAUGUUUAUGUGGUGAAUGGGUGGUGUUUGUGUAGGGUUGGAACACCAACGGGCAAUGGUGAAAGUGUUAAAGCCAAACCAUGGCAUAGGGGAUGAUGAUGAUGAUGAUGAUGAGACUGAAGCAACGACAAAUUCCUCUGUAGCCUCAACUAGUCCAAAUGCUAAACCCUUAGAUCAGAAAGCUAGCUACCACCAAACCUUCGCGAACAAGCUGUUGAUCCCAAGAGGAAGGCUCGAUCUAAUGAUCCAAGCUAGAAGUAUGGAUGAUGAGUAGAUCCGAUGAAGAAAGACUUUUUGUAGUGUGUUUUUGUAAGAAGAUAGUCCCUUCAGGAGUAAGGAGUUUCAAGCAACACCUUGCUAGAUGGGGAGGUGAUGCAUUGGGGUGCCCAUUAUGGUUUCAAACAGUUAAGAUAGAGAUGAUUUCUUUACAUAAAAAACUCGGUCGGUAGGGGAAAGACCGCCCCACGGUAUUAUAAGGUCACGAAAGCUGCCCCCCCCGGUGCAGCAUGAGGGUCCACCCUCUAUAGGCCAGAUCUUUACUCGUGCUUUGAGCCCUCCCAGGUACACAAGGAUUCAAUCUCCAUAGGUCAGUCCAUCUCAUGUUCACACAACCAGGGUAACCAGCGAGUGACCUUUUUUAACCCUAGCCCGAAAUUUGCUCCCACAGGGAUUCGAACUCAGGACCUAAGGAGUGCUACUCAGACCACCUAACUAACUCAGCUAGAAGCCCUUUCACAUUUCUUUACUUAAAGAAAAAACCAAGGAGGUGUUUCAAACCUCGCUCCGACAAGGAAAUUUAUUGUGCUCAUUCCAGGUUCCGGAGGGUGUGCGGUGGGCGCAAGAUUUAUACUGGUUCGGGCAGAACGUCCCUACAUCUAGUCAUCGGCGGCUUGCGCUACCGACACUAUUGAUGAUCAAAGCUCGUAGUAGGGGUUACAAGCAGGCGAGAGAGGGAUGAGAGACUCCCAAGUGUCUUGUUCGUGAUGGACAUUGUUACAAAGUGGAGUCCUAGCUAAGUCUUGGCUUGGCGACGGGGCUUCGACCUCUGGCUCCUCCUGUUCGUUGGUCUUCUGGGCGACGUCUGGGGGUCCAUCGUUUUGGGUGUGUGCUCAAAGAAGCCGCCCCCUGUGUCCAGGGCCCGUCCUCCUUUUAUAGAUUGAGGGGGGGGGGUCGACCUGUGGUGGCUUCCUUGGGAAGGAGCCACCAGGCGAUGGUAAAACUGGGCGUCUUACUGUAUGGUAAAGCCACGCGUGCUCGCGGUUGUUGGGCUGUCCUGUAUUCUUUAUUACGGAGUCGGAUGGCGCGAGAAGCGUGGGCCUGGACACCAUCAUGUGGGAUAUGCUGGCCCUUGACCUUCGUAGCCUGGGGCUCGGCGUGGCUCGUCUUGUUGUGCCCUGUUAGCGACCUGUGCGCUCGGGCCUACUCCCGAUAGGUUAUGUGUGCGCCGCUGGCUUGGGGACAUACAGUCCAUAAAUGCGCCACAGUCCGAGGGGCUUGUAGGUCAUGAGUGCUCUACGACUCGAAGGGUCCGUAGGUCAUGAGUGGGAGGCAGACUAGCGCAUCCGCUGUGGCUCGGCGCCAGGCGUAGUUAAUGCGGCCGGUCAUUUAUGACGGGUCGGUCUCGAGCCAGGCGUGGGAUCCACUCGAGUGGUUUUCCUUCGAUACGCUUGCCCUCCCCCUGUCUGGUUCCGCCACGCCUGACCCUAUGCUCGGUAUCGUGGGGUUCGUCCGGGGGCGGGUUCUUUCAGGGUGGACUCUAUCUAUCUCCUCCGUCUGACCAGCGGGCCCCAGUUGUCGGAAGCCUCUUCCCCAGCAUGCUCCCUGACUGAUGGGCCCCAGGGUUAUCCCCGACAAGGAGUGUGGUGCAUGUGAAUAUAUCUGAAGAAGGUGAAGAUUGAGAAGAUGGAAAUGAAGAGGAACAAGAAACUGAGCCUCAAGUUGAAGCAUCACCAGUGCCUAGUUUGGGGACAAGGGUUAAGCAAACAAAGAGGAAAAUUGCAUAGGCUUCCAUCACCUCUUUUAUGGUGUCAGCUCCAUCAAAGCCUCAAACUCAAAAGCAUUCAAAGUCAGUGAGUGCCAUGCUUUGCAAGAAAUCUGAAGUAGUUGUAGAGAGACACAAAUCAAAGACUUCUCAAACCUACUCUUAAGCAUUGCACAAACAAAAAUCAAAGGAGACAAAGCAAAUUGGUAUUGACCAUAUUACUAGGUUUUCUAUGAGACUGGCAUGUACCAUUCGAUGUCAUCAACUCAAGAAGUUGGAAGACUGUGGUAGAGUCAAUUGGGCAAUAUGGUCUUGGGUUGCGCUCACCAUCAUACCAUGAUCUAAGGGUUCCUUUGCUUGAUUGGGCUGUGAGUAGAACAACAGAAUUGAGACAGAAGCAUGAGGAGGCUUGAAAGGAAUAUGGUUGCACCCUUAUGUCGGUGGGUGGACUGGUACAAGCCACCGCCAUAUAAUCAAUUUUCUGGCCAACAGUUCAGCAUGGACCUUCUUCCUAGAUUCUUUUGACGCUUCAAGUGAACAGCAAAUGCACAAAUGUUGGUAGAUUUGUUGGAGAAGCAAAUUAAUAAGAUUGGGAAGGAAUAUGUUGUGCAAGUUGAUAUUGAGUCAUUGACAAUGGAGUCUGUUGGGGACCUUCGGCAUCCGAAGGUCCUCAAAAACAGGAUUUAACAGUAUUUCUGGAGUAUAAUGUGUGAACAGGUAUCUUCGGACUCAGGUCGGCAUCACAGCAGACCAGAAUAAUACGAAGGUCGGUACAGCGCCGAAGGUGUAAGCAGGAAAGCUUCGGCGUGACAGCAGAAAGUGGAACCGACUUAAAGAUGAAAAGGCUAUUUAGACCUCAACAGAUUACUAUAGAAUUAUUAUCAACUGUAAAGGGCAUGAAUGUAAUUUUGUAUGGGUUGUGUCCCGCGCCUAUAAAUAGGUGAACAGUACUCUCGUACUGUUCACGCUGACUUGGCAUUCGCUUUUUGCGUCACGCUUGUACUAUCAUUUCCUUCCAGUUGAAGGUACACUUGUAAUUCAACGAUACUCCUGUUUAUGCUUAAUAAUAAUGCAUAAUUGCGCAUGUUGUCAUUUAUAUUUCUUACAUUUCAUCCUUCGUCAUUAUAUAAUGAAUCUAUGAAGGUAUUCCCUUCAUGACCUUCGUCCGAAAACUAUUAUACCCUAAGGGAAAUAAUGUUUCGAAGGACGAAGGACUUUAACAAUUAACAUCUUCUGUGUUGCCUUGUUCUUAACCCAUAGCAUUUGAGAACAAGUCCCCAACAUUGGCGCCCACCUCCGGUGAACUCACUUCCACUCUAAGUUUUUUGAACACCUUCGGCGAUCAUAAACCUUCGUUAUGGCGCCGAAGAAGGCUUCAGCAACUGGAGCUGCAGCUCUGCAACCACUGGACCACAAUCAGGAGACAGUCUCCCUGCGGGAGGCCCGAAGCCAGAAAAGGAAGGCUGUCAGCCCGACACCACCAGAGGACGAGAUAGAUCAAGAAAUUAGAAAUAUGGAGAUGCUUCAUCAACAAGUACAGAGGAAGAAAGAAAAGAUGGCCAGACUAGCUGAGCUGCAGAGGCAGAUAGACGAAGCCUCUGAAGAAGUUCGUCACCUUGCCCAGGAUGAGCAGCACCGAAGGCCUCAACACCAAGAUCUCCAUCAGGAGGGUUUCCCCAACGAGGAUGACUGGUAUGACAAUUUCCAUCAUGGGAAUUUUGUUUUUGAUGAUGCUUCUCCUCUGUCCGCUGAGCUGCAGGCUACACCUUGGCCUCCGUCCUACAAGCCGCCCCAGCUUCCCGUAUUCGAUGACCACUUAGACCCGAAGCAGUUUUUGAUGAGCUACGAAGCAACAGUAUCUUCGUAUGGUGGCAAUGCUUCAGUCAUGGCCAAAUCUUUCGUUAUGGCUGUCAGGAGUGUGGCUCAAACCUGGUAUUCCUCCCUUCGACCAGGAACGAUCACUUCAUGGCAGAAGCUGAAGGAUUUGUUGUUAACUAGCUUUCAAGGAUUUCAGACGAAGUCGGUCACUGCUCAGGCUCUGUUCCAGUGCACCCAAGAUCACGAAGAAUACCUUCAGGCGUAUGUCCGAAGGUUCUUGCGUUUGAGGGCACAGGCACCAAUGGUGCCCAAUGAAAUUGUCAUUGAGGCCAUGAUCAAGGGGCUUCGGCCAGGACCGUCAGCUCAGUACUUCGCUCGGAAGCCUCCUCAAACUUUGGAGAAGCUGCUCCAGAAGAUGGACGAGUACAUUCGAGCCGAUAAUGAUUUUCGCCAAAGAAGGGAGGAAGCUUUCAGGUUUUCUGAAAUGACCAGGGGCUUCGGAGGGAGGUUCUACCCGAGGCACGUGAGAUCAAUUCAUAACUCUACACAAAAUGAUGAUAGAGGCAGCCAACAACAAAGGCCACAAUGUUCCUCACAGGCUUCGGGGCAACACCAAAGCUCCUUCAGACCACCAGCUCCAAGAGGCAGAGGCGCCAGGGGCUUUGGAGGAAGAUUUGGCGAUCAACCGAGAAGAAUCUUUUGCUUAUUCUGCGGUGAGAACAAAGGCCAUACUACCAGGAUGUGCCAUGUUACUAUUCAGAAGCAAAAGGAAAUAGCUGAAGCAGCAGCACAACAAGCUCAGCCGAAGCAGGUCAUGCAUACAGCUUCGUAUCAUUCGCCCUACAUUCCAGAAUAUGUGGGCAAUCAUCCUGCAGUUUCUGUUGCUUCGGCGAGUCAGCCUCAAGCUUCUUGGCAACAGCCUCCGCCUCCACCUCCGUUGCAACAAGGCCAGCAGCCAGAAGGGAGCCAGUAUGCUCCACACCAGAGGGACUUCAGAGAGCAGUCCGAAGCUCGUACAGUCAAUAGCACUGUGCCAGAGUCAAAGCACAUCUAUUGACAAAUAUCCUACCUUAAUAGCAAUCUUUUUCAUUCAGUUUUAUUUUCUGUAAUAAAGGACAUUGUUUAGGCUUCAUGUAAUUAGUUUCGUUGAUUCCUACAAGGAAAAUAUAUUUUCUUUACAGGCUUAUAUUGAUAACAAAGAGGACCUUCGAACUAUCGAAAAUUCUUCGAAGCAAUAAAAAGUCGUUCUAAGGAACGCAGAGUAAGUUUGCCGAAGUUACAAAAAGUCGUUCCAAAGGGAGCGCAGUGUAAGUUUUCUGCUCCAAAGUCGUUCCAAAGGGAAUGCAGAGCAUACAGCGAAAAGUCAACGCUGAUACCGCCUAAGUAAAAGGCGAAGCGCGAAAAGUCAACGCGAAUACCGCUGAAAGUAAAAGGCGAAGAAGCUCCUAAGGGAGGCUUACAGCGAAAAAUAAACGCUGAUUCCGCUGAAGUAAAAGGCGAAGAAGCUCCUAAGGGAGGCUUAUAAAAGAUUGUGUUUUAUUGCAGGGAUGCGUAUGUAUCUUCGGAAUAAACAUCAUCUCACAUAACAUAACAUCAUCACAUCAUUUCGCAUAGCAUAAGCAUCAUACAUCAUUUUGCACAUGGCACAAGAGGUAGACACAUUAUCAAUCUACAGAAGAACGCUUUGAAAAAAGGGAGAAAUCAGUCACAAAAAAGAUACAUCAUUGAUCUUCGGAAGUGUAGCUUCGGAAAAUAUUUUCAAGAAGCCUGGAUAUUAUUCAUCAGAACAUUGGAUAUUGUUGUGACAAAGAUAAAUUUUUCUUCACGAAGCAUGAAAAGAAGGGAAGGUGUUUUUUCGUCAAAGACUCAAAAGCGGUACGUGUAAAGUUUCAUGCAUCGUAAAGAAUUGACUAACAAAAAUAGGUAUAUUACAUUUGAGGUUACAAAAUGUUACAGUAUAUUACAUUUCCGAAGUUUUUUACAAAAAUACUUAAUCUUCUCUCAAAACGACUUCGGCAGCCUCGUUCAGGAGCCGAUUGACGACUUCGUCCAUAAUAUCUUCAGCCAUCUUUUUAAUUUCGUCGUCUCCUUUCGGCUGAGGGCCCGAAGACGCGUUAGCAGGAUCUGAAGUAAGAUAGGAUACGGAUACAGUGCUAUUACAAAUCGCAAACAAAUCUUAAAGCCUAAGAUUACAACACAAUAAAACUAUCAGUUAAUACCUAAUUGACCUUCGGCCUCUGCGCUCCUUUCAGCAGCCUCAGCUACUUCUCUAGCAUCGUGAAUUCCCUUUUCACUUCUUCUAAUAAUUUCUCCGGCCAUUUCUCGGCCACCAUUAUCCCAAAUAUCGGUAAAAAAUUUUCCACCAAUUAUACUAGCUUCGGCCGAAGGAUCUCUUGCAUCUUCAAAAGACAAAGCAGCUUCGGAUUGUGCUAAAAUUUUUACAUGUUCGCAGCCUUUCUUCUCUAAGAUGGUGGCAAGUCCUCUGGCGCCAGAGAAGGCACAUAUAUCUCCACGGCUAUUUAAAAUUUCUUCGAAGGCUUCAGCUUCGUGGUCGAUCCACUCGAUGGGACCUUCGGGAUUGCCUCUCGUAAAGUUUUCCUCACUUGAAAAUGCGCCGACCUUGGCGAAGCUAGCCUUCAGCUUUUUAACACAUUCUAUAGAUUUGUUAUAACAUCUCUUUUUGGACGACCGAAGCUCUUCAACAGUUCCUUCUAGGUGAUCUGCCCAUUGGUCGCUGAGUUCUCGCUUUGUCUCUUCAAGUAUGCGUUCUUCCUUGGCUCUGGCCAGUUGUUUCCGAAGAUCUUCAAUUUCGCGUUUCUGAGCUUCAGCUUGACCUUUAAAAGCAGAUUCGUCUGCCUUUAUUUUAUUUAUCAAUGAGUGUAAUAUUUUAUCUUUCUCGAGACCUUCGUUCCUCAGUUCAAUAACUUCGGAACGAAGGUUGCUCAGGGCUAUAGAACACCCUUCGUCUUCAGCAUCUUUCUGUGCCCUGAGGGCAUUGCUAAGUAUCAGGCCCUGCAAAGAGAAAUAUGUGUGUGUCAAUAGAUUUAAACAAGCGAAAGAUUUUGGACUCAACAAAAAUACAAGGAUUUCAUUUGUCGCACCUUUAAGCUAUUGUAAGCCAGGCUGUCGGCCAGAUCGUUCUUCGACAGCACCGAGAGCCCGUCUUCUAAAGUUGGGAAUCCGAAGCUCUUGCUCAUCUCCCGACAGACAGAAAUCUCCUUGCUGUCGGGGAGACAAUACAAGAAGUCUUCUUCUCCACUGCCAUUGAAUAUUAACGCCCCUUUUGGAUAUUUCAGUUUUUGGGCGUAGUGCUGGGCCUCUUGCUCUUCUUUUUCUGACAGUUUUUUCCCUGAAGCAUGACGAACAAUAUAAUCACGAAUUUUGGGGAUGCUUCGGGGGCAAUGACACCGGUUUCUUCAACAAAAGUUGGCUUUGUUAUUUUUUCUGCCUCACUUUCCAAGGAUUUUAUCUUUGCAGGCUCUGGGGGCCCAGCUUCGGCUUCAGUCUCUUGCCCUGGAGCUUUAGAAUCAGAAAUUUCAGUUGUUGUUUCAGGAAUGACAGCAGCCCUCUGCGGAGGUGUGCUUGAAGGUGCGGAGGUGUGCUUGAAGAUUUAAUCGUUUCCAGUACAUCCAGCACAUUAGCCAUUCUCUUUCUUUUUGGAGUCACUGCUGGCACUUUUUGAUUUUUUGCCGUCUCAAUGUUUGCUGCAGGACUCAAAACUUCUGAUGUUUUGGAUCCCUCAGUUGCUUCUUUUACCUCUUCCAUUUUUUCUGUAGACGGCGUUUCGGCCUUCUCUUUCGUUUCUGAUAACAAGGUCUUUGAUUUUUCCAAUUCUAUCUUUAUUGGCACUUCGGUCGUUUCUGCGACUUCUGGCAGCAAGGUUGGCUCGGCUGGCUUUUUAGCUUCGGUGGCCGAAGAAGUUUCUCCGGUAAACUCAGGCACCAAAGCUGGUUCAAUAUAGCGCGGCCGAUGUGUAAGGACCUUUAUCUUCUUUCUUUUCGGUUCUGGCUCGCUAGGAGCAGUUGCAGCUUCUUCUUUUGCAGAGGUUGUGUUUUUUCUUUUCUGCCUUCGAAUGGGAUAGCAAUAGUCAGGGUAGACAAACCCGAUUGCAUCAAAUACCCGAUUCAGCCUCUUCUUUUUUCGGCCUCCGAAGGCUGCGGACAUUGCAGUGUCUUCGGCCUUCGAGUAAGCCCCAAGCAGUUCAUCACUUAAAUUUUCAAUACUUUUUAACCAGUCAUCAUCUGGCUCAACGAAUUUAUCUCCAAAUUUAAAAGUGUACUUCAACCUGAUAAGUCCACCUUCGUCGGCCUCUUUUACGGUUUCUUGUGGCAUUUCCCAUUUCUCCGCGAGCGGCCAUACCCUGAAGGCAAUAUGCUCUUGUACUAAGUCUCUCGUUCCAAUGAAAGAGCAGACUGCGCCGAAGGCCCUCUGGCAUUCUUCGGCAGCUUCAUUCAUUUCAACCUUCGGCCUCCGAAGGUCGAAGCUUUGCCAAAUAGGGCGCAUGAUUAUACCUUUGAUAUCUUCUCGUACUGUCAGAUCAUUCUUCACAUAAAACCAUUCUGUCAUCCAAUCUCCGGGCCAUCUCUUCCGAAAGGUUGGCACGGGGCAGCUUGACCCGGACCGGGAAACGAAACUGUAGCAGCCAAAAUUAUUGUGAUACUGUUCCUUACCCCAAGGUUUUGUUUCGUAUGAUAAUUCGUGUAUAUUGCAGAAGCUUUUUGCAUCAGGCUGCAGACCUUGUCUUCUCACGGCCCACACGAAGAUAUUCAGCUUUAUGAUUGCUUCGGGGGUAAGUUGGUGAAGAUAGACUUCGAAGAUUUUCAGCACCUCCACGACGAAGCUGCUCAAAGGAAAUCGCAGUCCAGCUUUCAAAAAGCUUCGGUACACUACGACUUCAUUUUCUUCAGGGUGUGGGCACGUUUUUUCCCCUCCGUCGGCCCUCACAAUGGAUAAAUCCCGGAAAUACCUUCCUCUCAUGUUGACAAGAUGAUUCUCUUUGAUAGUUGAUUUACCAUAAACUGAAUGGCUUGGUCGCCAGGGACGAUCUUCGGAGUCCUCACCACCACUGUCCACAUCAUAGCUGUCACUGUCACCAGUAUCUUCAGACAAACCUUCCAGAAUCUCCUUGGUGAUUUUUUCUGUAUUGGUCUUUGACAUCGCUAUAAGAAACCCCAAGUUUUUCUCUUCGUCCAGGCUCAGCUUCAUCUCAGCAGCAGUCUUCUUAUCCUCAGACAUCUUCGGAGACACUAAAAACUAUUUUCAAAGCCGAAGCUUCAAAACUAAAGGCUUAACAAAUCUUAGUGCACAAGAGCUAAAAAUUGAGUGAGCAGGAGCAAUUGGCCAGAGAGCGUGUCAAAUGAGUUUGCGGUAUGACUGUAUUUAUACGCCAAGAGCGUUGAAAAUUGAAAGACCCCGCUUGUCAGUGAAUGUUGCUAUUCUAGCAAAGGGAAGGUGUUUUUUCGGACCUUCGGCGUAAAGCCUUCGUCCAUGUCGCAAUCUAAAUUUUUUAUUUCAAACAAAUUAAUAUUGCGAGGGGCUACUGUUGGGGACCUUCGGCAUCCGAAGGUCCUCAAAAACAGGAUUUAACAGUAUUUCUGGAGUAUAAUGUGUGAACAGGUAUCUUCGGACUCAGGUCGGCAUCACAGCAGACCAGAAUAAUACGAAGGUCGGUACAGCGCCGAAGGUGUAAGCAGGAAAGCUUCGGCGUGACAGCAGAAAGUGGAACCGACUUAAAGAUGAAAAGGCUAUUUAGACCUCAACAGAUUACUAUAGAAUUAUUAUCAACUGUAAAGGGCAUGAAUGUAAUUUUGUAUGGGUUGUGUCCCGCGCCUAUAAAUAGGUGAACAGUACUCUCGUACUGUUCACGCUGACUUGGCAUUCGCUUUUUGCGUCACGCUUGUACUAUCAUUUCCUUCCAGUUGAAGGUACACUUGUAAUUCAACGAUACUCCUGUUUAUGCUUAAUAAUAAUGCAUAAUUGCGCAUGUUGUCAUUUAUAUUUCUUACAUUUCAUCCUUCGUCAUUAUAUAAUGAAUCUAUGAAGGUAUUCCCUUCACGACCUUCGUCCGAAAACUAUUAUACCCUAAGGGAAAUAAUGUUUCGAAGGACGAAGGACUUUAACAAUUAACAUCUUCUGUGUUGCCUUGUUCUUAACCCAUAGCAUUUGAGAACAAGUCCCCAACAGAGUCAACUUCAAGGCAGCAAAGAUAAAGGAGUUCAACACUUGCAUAAAUAUGAGAAAGAAGGUAUGCCAAUUUAUGUACAAGCAUGGGAGGGUUAUUGAUUAAAUGAGGCAGAAGAUAGGUAGAGAUCUUGUAAGGCUGAUUAUGACUCGUUUUGCUACUUUUUUCUAACAUGGCAAGUAUGCAUAAACAUAGGAAUGCCUUGAGAAUUUUUGUUGUUAGUGAUGAGUAGACUACUAACAGCCUGUAUGCAUCUGUUGAAGGAAAGCAAGUUGUGAAAUGUGAACAUUAUCCUUUCACAACAAUUUUGGGCUAACAUGAAAAAAUUGCCUAUGAGUUUCACAACCACUUCUCGUUGCCUUGAGGAUAACAGAUGGGGAUGAAACACCUAGAAACUACGGAGAUCAUGGCAGCCAUGGAUGUUGUAAAGAGCAUAAUCAAAGAAACUUUUAAAUAGGAACCAAGUCUAUAGAAGGAGGUACUAGAGUGCUAUGAAAAGAGAUGGACAAGCCAAAUGGAGCAAAAACUGUAUGGGGGGCAGCCCUCUACUUGAAUCCAGGAUAGUUUUUUUUGGCAUAAGAGAUAAAGGUAGGAGCCAAGCUUCAUGCCUAAUAUCAGUGUUCAAUGACGUUUUGUGGAAGAUGGUGCCUAAUGAUGAAGAAAAAACCAAUAUUAGCAAGCAAACAGAUGAUUACGAGAGAUCCGAAGGCGAUUGCUUCUCAAAGCCAUUAGCAAUAAGAGAUAGAAACAAAAAAACCUAGUAAGUAACUAAGUAUCUAAGUAGUUGCCUAUUUUCCUUCUUCCUUGAUCACUUUGUUUUUGGUAACGUAGCACUAAUUAGUUUGGAAUUGUACUGUAGUUCUUUUGUGGGGUUCAUAUGGUGGCCUAGCUUAUGAGCUCCAAAGUUUAGGGAACAUUUUUUAGCCUUUGAUGUGCAACAUCUGGAUGGGAGCGUAAUUGGAGUGCCUUUGCUGAUGUAAGUACUCUACUACCUACUAAGUAGUUCAGACUUUGGAGAUAACAUUCCUUGCACAAUAUUAUGGUUUUGGCUUGUUGUCCUCUUGACAACUGUUUUUUGUAGAUCCAUACCAAGAAAAGAAACUGGUUAGAGCAUAAAAGGUUAAAUAAGUUGGACUAUUGUAGCUACAACCGGAAAAUGCAAAACAGGUUUAAAAAAAUUAAAGAGCUUGGUUCCAAGAGAAAGAAAUGCAAUCCACUGUUGCUUGAAGAAUUUUGAUGGAAAAAAUGGAUGGGUUGAUGCAAAUAAUAAACUUGUACACAAAGUUUAUGGAAAUACUUUGACUUGGGCUGUUGUGGAUGAAGUUGUUGGUGCAACUCAAGACCUAUAGGGGCGUCACUUGCGUAGGUCUGCUGCAGUUUGUGCUGCUACCGUUGUCAAACAGACCUGAGCAAGAAGAAACGUCUAAGAAACGCACGGGCUUAAGAUAUCGCUGUAGCAGAUGAUGGGAAAGAUGGAACAGAAGAAAAUAUGAACCAGAACCUUCUAAUCCAGCAGCAACAAUGGAUGAGGACGAAGAAUCAUGAUGGAGAUGAAGAGGCUUCCGGUUGAUUGAUGGUCUACUUAAUUAGCCAAUAGCCACAAGAUUGCAAGAAGGCUGCUUUUGUUGCUCGUUAUGUUCCAUUCGAACCUUGUUUGGUUAUGUAUUACUGGCGAAAGGGUCUCUAACUGAGUUGGUCAGGUGGUCUCGAUCUAUGUGAGAAAGUAUUUUUUUUAAUAUAAUGCCAGAGGCUGUCAUACUCCCCGCAGGGGAAGAGUUUUUUUUUGUUAUGUAAUUAUGUAUGACUAUGCUAUGUGACGGUGUUAUGAUGUGCUUCAGCAGUACUGCGCUGCUACUAGUGCUACUGCUAACUGCUAGAUAUUUAUUUGAUAAUUGAUAUUUCCUUUUUUUACUGGUUUAUUGGUUUAUCACCAUAGUUAUACAGGCUGCCUUCUAUUAAUUGGUUGGGAUUAAUAACUUAGAACUCCUUGGAUUUGCCGUGAGGAUACGCUGGUUGUGGGCACAAAAAACAAAUCCGGAUUAGACCUUGGGCUGGUCUACAUGUAUCCUGGUUGUGGGCACAAAAAACAAAUCCGGAUAUACCUUGGGCUGCUCUACAUGUCCUUGUUCCUGCAAAGGCAAAGGCCCUCUUUGAUGAGGAAAUUCUGUUCUGGAAAGAUAGGUGGUUAGAUGGACACAUUGGCUGAAGUGGCCCCUAAUCUGGUCAAAACAGUCCCAAAGAGAAUUGCUAACAGGCGGACUGUUGUCCAGGCUCUCACUGUCCACUUGUCCAGGUGCAUGACAUCAAGGGAGCACUCACUGUCCAGGUGCUGGUUGAGUAUCUGCAGAUUUGGGAGAUGGUGGAUGGUGUCGUUCUACGCCAAAACGUGGCUGAUCAGUACAAAUGGGAAUUAACGCAACAUGGUUCCUAUAGCAGUAAAUCUGCCUAUGAAGCUUUCUUCCUUGGAUCCAUCAGGUUUGGCCAUGGAGAAAAUUUUGGAAAACCUGGGCUCCUGCUUGCUGCAAAUUCUUCAUUUGGUUAGUUUUCCAUUGUCGUGUGUGGACUGCUGAUCGUCUGGCCAAAAGGAACCUGCCUCAUCCGGAGGCUUGUUCUCAGUGACCAGGAGAUGGAAACUAUAAACCAUCUGUUGGUUGGGUGUGCCUUUGCUCGCGAGGUUUGGCAGGGGCCUCCAAACUCAACGAGCUAGUGUUUAGGUCGUCGGCGUUCUUGGCCCAAGGCAUAAGUGUUAGACUGUGUGUGUGAGAGUGUGUGGGCCGGCACCACUGUUGGGCUGCCGGUCCAUUAAGGUUAGGGUUGAGUCCCUAUAUAUGUACCCCAUCUCCUAUCAAUAUAUCCAGUUCACUCUUCUACAUGGUAUCAGACUAGGUUCGGUUAGGGUUUUCUCCUCUCAGCCGUUCUCUCCUGCAGCCGCCGGCGGCUCUCUCCCACAGCAGCCGCCUCCUGCGCUGCUGCCCCCGGGAGGCUCAGCCUUCCCUCCCGGGGGCGGCCUCCCAGCCUUCUUCUACCUCCAUCCAGCCAGCCGCACUCCCACCCCGUCCGCCUUCAAUCUCCAGGCGGCGGCGGAUGCAAGGCGCGCGUUCCCCUGCGCGGGGCGGCCACGGCGAGCGGCCCCGGCGCGGGCGCACGUUACCCUGCGUGGGGCGACCACGGCGAGCGGCCCCGGCGCGGGCGCGCGUUCCCCUGCGCGGGGCGACCACGGCGCGGGCUGGCUCGACGGCGGCCAUGGCGCACGCGGGCAGCGGCCUCACGGCCUUGGAGCCGGCCCCCGGCUUCUACACGGGCAUGGCCCCAUCCGGCGCCUCCCCGACGGCGCUUGGCCAGCCCCUCCCCGCGACGGCCGCCUUCCUCCCCACCGGCGCUGCUCCCCCGCCCUCCUCGCUGGAUCAGCCACCGGCGGCCCCUCGCCUGGGCGCGGUGCAGGCGCGUCGAGCCGUCUCGUGGAUCCGUGGAUCCGACGACGGCGCGGCCUUCCCCAACGGGCGCGGUUUUCCCCAUGGCGCGCCGGAGCAGCCCCUCUGUUCUCGCCCCUCCCCUUUCCCUCAUGCCGGCCAGGCCCUCCCCUUUCGGCCAGCCCCUCCCCUUCCCUGGCUGCACGCAUGCUGCCUCACUGGCCGUGGGCGCGGCCCUCCCCUUCCCCGGCCUCCCAAGCCGCCGCCACCGGAUCCGCGUGCCCCUGUGUUUGUGUCGCUAGAUCUGCGAGCAUGCAGGCGCGCGCCGGCGUUCUCUCCCUAGUGUCGAUCACCUCGACCAACAGCACCAAGUAGCACCACCCUUCGAACUUCUCCCGUCGCCGGUGCUGCCAACACCCCUUGCCAGGUCCGGCGCAGGCCCCUGCCCGGCUGGACCCGCCCCGCCGCCCACCCCUUCAUCGCCUUCAUUGGAUCCGUCGCUGCCGCGACCUUCCCGGCCGGAUCCACGUUGCUGCGACCUUUCCGGCUCGAUCCGCCGUCCCUUUGGCUGGAUCGCGUCUUCCCGUCCGGAUUCGUCGCUGUCGUGGCCUUCCCGGCCGGAUCCGACAUUCCCCUUCUUUUCUGUCGCGGGCGCGGACACCAUGACCGGCGCAGACGCGUGCGCUGCUGUCGGCCUCCCUGGCGGGGCUCCUUGACGCCUGGACGAUCGAAGAAGAGGAAGGUCGGCCUACCGGUGCCCUUUUGUUGUGUCGCCCUGCCGAUCGUUGACGCUCGAAUGUCGACCCUCCCGAAGAUCAGGCUUUUGCUGCGCGUCUUCCGACCGCGACCACCUCGACUUCGGCUACCUCGGCAUCUAGGGGCUAUCGUCUUCUUCGAGCACACAAUGGUCUCUACUCCAGCCGCAACAUUCACACCAUUACGACGCUGCGACCGCGGGGGGAUUUCAACCCGUCGACUCCUACCUUCGGCCUCUACUCCAGUCUCAUCGUGUGUGGUGCCCCCGUUGCGACUGCGGGGGAUGUUAGACUGUGUGUGUGUGAAAGUGUGUGGGCCGGCACCACUGUUGGGCUGCCGGCCCAUUAAGGUUAGGGUUGAGUCCCUAUAUAUGUACCCAAUCUCCUAUCAAUAUAUCCAGUUCACUCUUCUACAAUAAGGCCGUUGUGGUCAUGUCUUAUUUUCUUCCGUGGCACUUAUGUAAUGGUGUGAGUGGUGCCUUCGUUAGGCACCUAGGGCGGUCUUUUCUAGACCAUGUAUUUUUCUUCUACCUUAAUAAAAUGACGUGCAGUUCUCCUGCGCUUCGAGAAAAAAAUUGGUUGGAAUCAUUACCUCAGCCUUCUAUUAAUAUAAUACCGUGAGUGUGGUCUUAUCCUCUUGGUCGAGUUAUACAGACAACCAACAUAUUACAUAAUGCACUAGUAUAGUACCUAACAAAUACAUUUUUGUGUUAUUUUAGCAACAAGUCGAUAAGAACAAGGAGUUUUGAAAUUGGAUAAGAUUUCGAAAUUAUGUACAACAAAUAUCACAAGUAGGUUACUAACUUAAUGGCCAUUAGCAUUCUGUUGAACUCUUCAGUUUUGAUGCUUGCUAAAUCAUAACUGUAUUUUUUAUAUAAUUUGUCCUGAUUCCUGAAACCUAUAGACGAUUAGCUCGAUCAGGCUUGAUUAAUCGAUUUGAUCGAUGACUAAUCCUGAUUAGUCGCCAGGUUGGCCACUAGGCUACUAGCUAGGUCUGAACAGACGACAUGAAAAACAUUGAUUGUGGCUCUAUACCACCCAUGUUUAAGUUCUAGUUAGGGUUGGAAAAAAGUUCGAGUUCGAUGAGCCGGCUCGGCUCGACGCUUAGAAUGAGCUCGAGCCGAGCCUGUUUUUAUGGCUCGUGAAAAGAGCGAGCCAUUCGGCUCGGCUCGCUGUGGCUCGCGAGCUGACUCGUGGCUCGAUCCAACAACAAUCUGUUACAUAAAAUCCUAAUUAGCAUAUGUUGCUAGUACCAAAUAGAGGAUUAGUUUGAGAUUACAAUACGAAACUAAUAUAUUUUCUAUAUUAUAUUAGCAAUAUAUUUAUUUUACUAAUUUAAAGUAUGUUAGCUAAAUUAUUUUUGAGAUUUUAUAUUAUAAUUUAGAGGGCAAUUUCAUAUUUAUGGUUAGGCUCGUUGGCUUGGCAAGCCGGCUCGUGAGUCUAGAGGGAACCAAGCCGAGCCAACAUUUUAGGCUCGUUAGAAGAGCGAGCCUAGCCGAGCUUGGCCUAUUGCUUCACCGAGCCGAUCUCGGCUUGUUUCCACCCUUAUCCUAGUUGAGGUGUACUCAACCGCUUAUUAUUGUUCUUUGAGCCAUCCCAGCCCCUACAUGAGGAUCCACUCUCCAUAGGUUAAUCCAUCUCGUGUGCAUACAAUCAGAGGAACUAGUGAGUGACCCUUUUUAGCUUGUUUGCUGCGGCUUUAAUCUGGCUGCGACUGCGGCUUCUACAGUAUUUUGUCUCUAUUGAUUGCAGAUGAAACAGUCCGAACAGCUGCAGCAGUUGGCUUCCACUGAAAUUCGAACUCAGGACUUAGAGCGCUACUCAAAACACAUAACCAACUCGGUUAGAGACCCUUUCGCCACUCAUUUAAUUUAUAAAUAAACAAGACAAGUUUUCCUUUCUAACGAUGUGCAUCUCAUCAAUCUUUCUUGCACAAUGUAGGAAUAUACAGUGAUUACGGAAAGAGCUUUUUCCGAUGAUGUCACUUCCAGUUCAUUCAUAUUCUGAAUGGAUCCAGCUCGUGGAACUUGUGACAGCUGCAACAGCCUGAUACAUUCUUCCUGGCUGUUUCAAAUGCUGCAUCAUCUUCCGUCUUACCUUUUUCCUUUCCUUUCAUUACUUUUUAUAUUCUAUGAUGGUCUAGCAACAGUCAUAUCAACAUUCUUUUCAUUCCUAUCAUGAGAGGUAAUUGCAUUUUUGUAAUGCAACAAACUUGCUGGCA
rnacentral:lncRNA from 1 species